rnacentral:rRNA from 1 species
UACGAAGGGGGCUAGCGUUGUUCGGAAUUACUGGGCGUAAAGCGCGCGUAGGCGGUGAUCUUUGUCAGAGGUGAAAGCCCGGGGCUCAACUCCGGAAUUGCCUUUGAAACGGGAUCGCUUGAGUCCGAGAGAGGAUGGCGGAAUUCCUAGUGUAGAGGUGAAAUUCGUAGAUAUUAGGAAGAACACCGGUGGCGACGGCGGCCAUCUGGCUCGGUACUGACGCUCAGGCGCGAAAGCGUGGGGAGCAAACAGG